AUCUAAACCUGACAGGAGCGGAAAUACUUUUUGUUUCAGCAACGCUGAAUAUGUUGAAAUGCUGAGGAACGAAGUAUCUGCAACCGAUGAAACAGAUUCUUCAUUCCUCAGAACGACAGAAGUUGACAAAAAGAUUGAAGCGGAUGGCGGGACUGCUG
rnacentral:sRNA from 1 species